AUCGAACGCUGGCGGCAUGCCUUACACAUGCAAGUCGAACGGUAACAGGUCUUCGGAUGCUGACGAGUGGCGAACGGGUGAGUAAUACAUCGGAACGUGCCCGAGAGUGGGGGAUAACGAGGCGAAAGCUUUGCUAAUACCGCAUACGAUCUCAGGAUGAAAGCAGGGGACCGCAAGGCCUUGCGCUCACGGAGCGGCCGAUGGCAGAUUAGGUAGGUGGUGGGAUAAAAGCUUACCAAGACGACGAUCGUUAGCUGGUCUGAGAGGACGACCAGCCACACUGGGACGGAGACACGGCCCAGACUCCUACGGGAGGCAGCAGUGGGGAAUUUUGGACAAUGGGCGCAAGCCUGAUCCAGCCAUGCCGCGUGCAGGAUGAAGGCCUUCGGGUUGUAAACUGCUUUUGUACGGAACGAAAAGACUCUGGUUAAUACCUGGGGUCCAUGACGGUACCGUAAGAAUAAGCACCGGCUAACUACGUGCCAGCAGCCGCGGUAAAAC
rnacentral:rRNA from 1 species